GUAGGGUGCGAGCGUUAAUCGGAAUUACUGGGCGUAAAGCGUGCGCAGGCGGUUAUGUAAGACAGUUGUGAAAUCCCCGGGCUCAACCUGGGAAUUGCAUCUGUGACUGCAUAGCUAGAGUACGGUAGAGGGGGAUGGAAUUCCGCGUGUAGCAGUGAAAUGCGUAGAUAUGCGGAGGAACACCGAUGGCGAAGGCAAUCCCCUGGACCUGUACUGACGCUCAUGCACGAAAGCGUGGGGAGCAAACAGGAUUAGAUACCCUGGUAGUCCACGCCCUAAACGAUGUCAACUGGUUGUUGGGUGCAUUAGUACUCAGUAACGAAGCUAACGCGUGAAGUUGACCGCCUGGGGAGUACGGCC
rnacentral:rRNA from 1 species